UUACGGCCAAAUCACGUUGAAACACUGGCUCCUGUACGAUCACCGAAGUUAAGCAACGUCGAGCCUGGUCAGUACCUACAUGAAUGACUGCUUGUCAACAUCAGAUGCUGUAAG